rnacentral:rRNA from 1 species
AUGAUCCUGGCUCAGAAUGAACGUUGGCGGCGUGGAUUAGGCAUGCAAGUCGAACGGGUCCGGCUUCGGCCGGGCCAGCGGCGGAAGGGUGAGUAAGGCGACGGCAACCAACCCCGAGGUUGGGUAUAGCCGCGGGAAACUGCGGGUAAUCCCCAGCGACGUGACGACGCCGGCAUCGGCGUUUCACCAAAGGCUUCGGCCGCCUUGGGACGGGCCGUCGUGGUAUUAGGUAGUUGGCGGGGUUACGGCCCACCAAGCCUGUGAUGCCUACCGGGCGUGCGAGCGUGGCCCGGCACACUGGGACUGAGACACUGCCCAGACUCUUACGGGAGGCUGCAGUCGAGAAUCUUCGGCAAUGGGCGCAAGCCUGACCGAGCGACGCCGCGUGGAGGAUGAAGGCCUUCGGGUUGUAAACUCCUGUCGAGGGGGAGGAAGGGGCAACCUUGACCGAUCCCUGGAGGAAGCACGGGCUAAGUUCGUGCCAGCAGCCGCGGUAAUAC